GCCGUGGUAGCUCAGUUGGUGAGAGCGUCGGAUUCAUAACCCGGAGGUCGGCGGUUCGAUUCCGCCCCACGGUA
rnacentral:tRNA from 1 species